UUUGAUGGAUAAUCCCUUAUCUAUAGCAAUAAGGAGAACAUGGACGGUUCAAAUCAUCGGACCAUCUCAGCAUGUGAGGCCCAGUGGGUUGCGACACAUGCUGGAAUCUAAGUCGCGACGGAGGCCAAACGAACUCGCAUGGAAUUCAGCGACAACAGAAUUCCCCUCCUAUUCGUGUGGAGAGAGAUCUUCCUCUCUUCAUUUUCUACCGUGCGACGUUUCUAUCGACAAAACGAAGUUCCCUCUAUAAAUGCCCUCAUCCCAGCUUCUUAUUUCCAGAAAACGAGAAAACGAGAUUCUUUUUUUCUUAUUCGUUUCUCUCUCCUUCAUCUCUCAUGGCUCCGAUCCAAUUCAAGCAAUCUCCUACGCCAGCUCAAACCCUAGAGAGCUCCCAAGACGCUCGGAUUCUCGUCCGAGAGACGUUGCGAAUAAGCGCGGAUCUCGCAUCGUCCUCUCCGUACUCUCCUUCUUUGAUUGCCGCAGCGAGCUGCGGCGAGAGGCCUGGGGUGAAAUUCGGGCUGGUCGAGGCGGAUUUCCUCGAUUCGAGCCUGAGUGUCUUGUGCUGCGAGGAGAUUGAUGGAAGACGAUGGAAGUACGUGGCUGCCAGAGACGGUUCUGGAGGGUUCCGGAAGAGUUCAAUCCGUGCCAUUGAAUUGCAUUCGCCAGAAGCUCCUUUCAACGAUUUGAUGUCGUUUGUUAGAUCUUAUGUAGUACCUGAAGGAUUCCCAGACAGCGUCACUCCUUCAUAUGUCCCAUACAUGACAUGGAGAGCCUUGAAGCACUUUUUUGGUGGAGCAAUGGGUGUUUUCACAACACAAACACUGUUGAGUUCAGUUGGGAUGUCUAUAGAUAGUUCCACUUCAGGUGCUGUUGCGAUCAACUGGAUUCUCAAGGAUGGGGCUGGCCGUGUUGGGAAAAUGCUUUUUGCACGGCAAGGAAAGAAAUUUGACAAUGAUCUGAAACAGCUUCGGUUUGCGAGUGAUCUUGUAAUGGAGUUGGGAGCUGGCGUAGAGUUGGCAACGGCUGCUAUGCCACAUCUUUUCUUGCCAUUGGCAUGUGCAGCCAAUGUGGCAAAGAAUGUUGCUGCUGUGACGUCAACAUCAACUCAUACUCCAAUCUAUAAAGCCUUCGCUAAAGGAGAAAAUAUUGGCGAUGUCACUGCUAAAGGAGAGUGCGUUGCCAAUAUUGCAGAUCUGUUGGGGACUGGACUGAGCAUCAUGAUCUCAAAAAGAAAUCCUUCCUUGGUGGCCACUUUUGCACUCCUAUCAUGUGGAUAUGUUCUCAGCUCAUACCAAGAGGUGAAAUCUGUUGUCUUGCAUACUUUGAACAGGGGGAGAUUCACUAUGGCAGUGGAGGCUUUCCUCAAGACCGGGCAUGUUCCCUCCUUGAAGGAAGCAAAUUCAAGGGAAAACAUCUUCAGUUUCCCAUGGGCGAAAGAUAGGCCUAUCGUUUUAGGACCAAGAUUUGGGGAUGCAUUUCAGGAGCCAGCUAUGUUCCUUGCGAUAGAGCCCUUGUUUGAGAAAGAAAAAUACAUAGUCACAUAUAAUCCUACAAAGGGUAAUGUGUAUGCAUUGUUCAAAGAUCUAUCAAAGUCAGAUGACAUUCUAAAAGCAGCUUUUCAUGCACAUGUGCUUUUGCAUUUCAUCCGUUCAUCAAACGAGAAUUCUUCUUGGAGACAGCAUGGUGCAACUGACCAAUUGGACUUUGGUGGAUCCUUGUCAACCCAUCUUGUUCCUACAACUACCAAUUUUGAGUCUCAGAUCGCCGAGACUUGCAAGAUUGUUCAGAUUUCAUAUGAGCUUUUCAAGAGGAAAGCUGCAGAACAGGGAUGGACGAUGUCAGAAUCACUGCUCAACCCUGGGCGAGCUCGGCUACUUGAAGCACAGAUUUGAGAACCUCAGAAGGGUUUAAUUUUAUGCAUGAGUGAGAUUGAAGGAAAGGUUAACAGCGAUGUGAAACGUAUCUCCCAUGCAUCGAGACCAUCAGCACUGCUACUUCAAUACACUUGGAACAUCCCAUAUCGUCUGAAGCUUUUCAAACUAUGGGGUUGGAUGACUUUGAGAUUCAAGAUAAUUUGAAGUUUUUCACUGUGGGAUUGAUUAGAGGUAACCUCUCUUUGACAUGACUGUAUUGAACACUGAGAAAACUCACCGAGACAACUAAACUUGGUCAAAGGAUUUAGGUUGAGGGGAUGGCUAAGUCUUAUGGGGGAAAAAAAGGAGAAGAAAAGACUCGGAAAACUCUGAAAGUAAAAGAAAUAAAAAACAGAAUAUGUCAUAAGAUCUUCAAACUUUGAAGUUGGAAAGCUUGGUCAAGGUCUCAAUCUAUUUCAAGUUUAUCAGGUUUGGACCCUCAUUUAUCUCUGUGUUAGUGGGAUCCGGAGAUACCCAAAGUAUCCAACUAGGUUUAAUCAGAUAUGCAUACAGAUUUCGGGCUUGAUCAAUAAUUGGGCGAGAUUCGGGUCCACAGACUCGGAUCUGAUUAGAGAUUGGGUUGGGUUGGCUACUCGAUGAGAAAAUAUAUGAUUCUCUUUUAGUUUAUCCUUUAUUUAAUAUUUGUUAUUAGAAAAGCAUAAGAAAACGCCAUGUUUCUGAUGUGGGCCUAGAUUUGGAUAUGGAGCUGGACUAUAGAUCUGAUUCUGGAUCCACACCCAAUCUUGACUCCUAAUUCGUGCUCAAUAUUAGGCCUGAUAGGAUUCAGUGGGAUAUGAAAGUAUGAUUGGAUUCAGAUCCAAUACCUCAUAUACAAGUAGAUGAAGUAGAAGAAUAUAGGAUUUGGAUCCUGAGAGUAAAAGAGAAAAACAGAAUAUAUCAUGAGAUCUUCAAAGUUUGAACUUGGAAAACGUGGUCAAGCACUUGAACCUAGUCUAGUUCAGUUGGAUUUGGACCCUCAUUUGUAGGACAGUAGAGCUGUUGAUCUGAUAUUUGGAUACCCCAAUUAUCCAACUCGAUCACACACAUGAACACGCACGCAUGUGGAUUUGGAUCCAUUACCUCAUAUACAGGGUAGCCCUAUCUUGAACACGACAGGAUCUGAAUCCAAUUAUCUUGGUUGGGCUCAGAUAUGGAUACAUUAAUUUCCGACUGAACCUAACACAUUAACAGUCCUACUCAAUUAGGCCUGAUUUUAGCUUUACUAUUGUUACAUAUAGAUUGCUUUGUCAUUGUCAUCAAAUUACGGUAAUAUGGAUAUAACUGUUUGGACUCUUCUUUCUUCCUCUUGUUUUAUCUCUAGCAUAUAUUUUCUCAUAGGUCAACUUGUGCAAUCAAAUGGAUUUACUUUAGCAUUCAUUUUGAGCCACAGGUGUUUUCUAGUUUCAUAGCUGUUUUCUGUUGCUACUGUCCUUGGCAUUGUUUUCAAUCUGAAUGUUUUCAUAGGAUCUGUAUAAUCUUGUAAAUCGUGAUCAAUUUAGGCUGGAUGGGCCAUGAAUGCUUUUUGCAUGCCCUAAUCAAGUGCAUUAUCCGAUGAGGUGGUUAACUUCGGUAUGCCCGUCUUUUAUACGUGGCUGUAGAAACAUCAUCGGCAUCUUCAUCAUCAUCAUCAUCUAAGCCUUAUACCAAGUAAUUGGGGUUAACUACUAGAAUCCUGUUUUGCUAU